AGUGAACGCUGGCGGUAGGCCUAACACAUGCAAGUCGAACGGCAGCACAGUAAGAGCUUGCUCUUACGGGUGGCGAGUGGCGGACGGGUGAGGAAUACAUCGGAAUCUACUUUUUCGUGGGGGAUAACGUAGGGAAACUUACGCUAAUACCGCAUACGACCUACGGGUGAAAGCAGGGGAUCUUCGGACCUUGCGCGAUUGAAUGAGCCGAUGUCGGAUUAGCUAGUUGGCGGGGUAAAGGCCCACCAAGGCGACGAUCCGUAGCUGGUCUGAGAGGAUGAUCAGCCACACUGGAGGUGAGACACGGUCCAGACUCCUACGGGAGGCAGCAGAGGGGAAUAUUGGACAAUGGGCGCAAGCCUGAUCCAGCCAUACCGCGUGGGUGAAGAAGGCCUUCGGGUUGUAAAGCCCUUUUGUUGGGAAAGAAAAGCAGCAGGUUAAUAUCCCGCUGUUCUGACGGUACCCAAAGAAUAAGCACCGGCUAACUUCGUG
rnacentral:rRNA from 1 species